GGAAGAUCCAAAUAAAAGUUUGUUUUUUAGUUGAUGCGAAAACUGGAAAGCAGUCACAUCAUAUCGAUCAUCAGCCGUACAAUCCGAUCCGAUUCAACAUCCCCUGUUGCGCCACGUAGCCCAAAUCAAUCCUGACCGCCGAUGAGUUGACGACAUCUCCAGACCCUCUCCCUCUUUCUCUCUCUCUCUCUCUCUCUCACCCGCAGCAAAAACUGCAGUAAUCUUAAUAAUGAUCAAUCAAUUCCUGGACGGGCACGAAAUGAGCCACAAAUGGUGCCGCACAAUAAAAGAAACAAACAAUUAGGUUUUGAUCGGCCUUCGAUGCACAGAUCUGACUGUUUGAUGCACUGACUGAUACUUUCAUGGCUCUAUUUUUUGAGAAAGAAAAAUGUAAGUUUUUUUUUGUUAUUUGUUAUUAAUUAUCAGGAGAAGUACAAGAAAAGAGUGGAUCGAAAAUGGGGGGAGAGGUACAGAGGGAAUCAGACUGACAGAAGAGAGUGAGCACACGUAGACAAUUUGUAUAAAAGAGUAUACCCUUUGUUUUAUACAUGUGCUCAUUCCUCUUCUGUCGGCUCUCUCCUAAUCCCUAAUCUUCAUUCGAAUUUGGGCCUUCUCGCCAUUUUUAUUUACCUCAAGAGCCUGUCACAUCGAUACGUGUUUGUUUCUUACCUAGGAAGGACUUGAAGAAGCCCCUGUUCUAUCAUUGUUUCUUGAUGUGAUUUUAAAUUAUUAUUUUUUAAAAAACCAUUAAAGAAAGAGUGCAGUGAUAUAUAGGGUUAUUGUGAAAUGUUGCUUUUAAUGUAUCUGUCGGAGAGGACACUCGGGAAGGACCCAAAGGUACACCUAACUUGUUGCUACAGUAUUUGCUUAACAGAUAAAUAUUUGUAUUUCUUUUCCUGCCUGUUUUUGUGCCCCAAAGGAAUUCUUUCUUUUUGCAGCAAUAAAGGAGGGCAGAAAUUUUUAUAAAAUCUCAUUUCUUUUCUGUCUUUCUUGCUUCUGUUUCUAAUCUGAUAUGGUUAUGAAUCUGAAUCUGCUAUGUUAUUUUAUGUGAUUUUUCAGUUGUGGAUUUAAGUUAUGGCGAUAUUUGUUUCCUGUUCUAUUCGAUUGUGUGUAAGGAAUAAUUAUCUUGUCUGAAGAAAAUAAGGUUAAGUUUCUGAAUAUUCAA